rnacentral:rRNA from 1 species
UNUGGCUUAACUGGGGGCUUGCGGUGGGUACGGGCCGGCUUGAGUGCGGUAGGGGAGACUGGAACUCCUGGUGUAGCGGUGGAAUCCGCAGAUAUCAGGAAGAACACCGGUGGCGAAGGCGGGUNUCUGGGCCGUUACUGACGCUGAGGAGCGAAAGCGUGGGGAGCGAACAGGAUUAGAUACCCUGGUAGUCCACGCCGUAAACGUUGGGCACUAGGUGUGGGGGGCCUUUUCCGGGUCUUCCGCGCCGUAGCUAACGCAUUAAGUGCCCCGCCUGGGGAGUACGGCCGCAAGGCUAAAACUCAAAGGAAUUGACGGGGGCCCGCACAAGCGGCGGAGCAUGCGGAUUAAUUCGAUGCAACGCGAAGAACCUUACCAAGGCUUGACAUGUGCCGGUCGGCUCCGGAGACGGGGUUUCCUCCUUGUGGGGCCGGUUCACAGGUGGUGCAUGGUUGUCGUCAGCUCGUGUCGUGAGAUGUUGGGUUAAGUCCCGCAACGAGCGCAACCCUUGUCCCGUGUUGCCAGCACGUUGUGGUGGGGACUCGCGGGAGACUGCCGGGGUCAACUCGGAGGAAGGUGGGGAUGACGUCAAAUCAUCAUGCCCCUUAUGUCUUGGGCUUCACGCAUGCUACAAUGGCCGGUACAGAGGGCUGCGAUACCGUGAGGUGGAGCGAAUCCCUUAAAGCCGGUCUCAGUUCGGAUCGGUGUCUGCAACUCGACACCGUGAAGUUGGAGUCGCUAGUAAUCGCAGAUCAGCAACGCUGCGGUGAAUACGUUCUCGGGCCUUGUACACACCGCCCGUCACGUCAUGAAAGUCGGCAACACCCNA